AUGGGGGGAAUGGGGGGCCUUGGCAAGACCACAUUAGCGCAGCUCAUAUACAAUGAUCCUGAAAUUCAGAAGCAUUUCCCGUUGCUGCUUUGGGUCUGUGUCUCUAAUACCUUUGACGUGAACUCCCUGGCCAAGAGUAUAGUUGAAUCAUCUUCCAGGAAGAAUAUUGAUACAGACAAACCACCACUGGAUAGACUUCAAAAACUGGUCAGUGGACAACAGUAUCUCCUUGUAUUGGAUGAUGUUUGGGACAAUAAAGAGUUACGUAAGUGGGAAAGGCUGAAGGUAUGUCUUCAGCAUGGUGGCAUGGGCACUGCAGUGUUGACAACAACUCAUGAUAAACGAGUUGCUGAAAUUAUGGGUGCAGCUAGGGCAAGCCUACAAUCUCAAUGCUUUGGAGGAUCACUUCAUAAAGGAAAUUAUUGUGGAUAG
rnacentral:rRNA from 1 species